CAGUCGAACGGAGUUAUCAUUUCAGAAGCAAUUAGCUUGCUGAGAGUGGAAGAGAGGAUAACUUAGUGGCGGACGGGUGAGUAACGCGUGGGGAACCUGCCCUGCACCGGGGGAUAACACUUGGAAACAGGUGCUAAUACCGCAUAAGCGCACGAGGCCGCAUGGCCAGGUGUGAAAAACUAAGGUGGUGCAGGAUGGACCCGCGUCUGAUUAGCUUGUUGGUAGGGUAACGGCCUACCAAGGCGACGAUCAGUAGCCGGCCUGAGAGGGUGAACGGCCACAUUGGGACUGAGACACGGCCCAAACUCCUACGGGAGGCAGCAGUGGGGAAUAUUGGACAAUGGGGGAAACCCUGAUCCAGCGACGCCGCGUGAGUGAAGAAGUAUUUCGGUAUGUAAAGCUCUAUCAGCAGGGAAGAAAAUGACGGUACCUGACUAAGAAGCCCCGGCUAACUACGUGCCAGCAGCCGCGGUAAUACGUAGGGGGCAAGCGUUAUCCGGAUUUACUGGGUGUAAAGGGAGCGUAGACGGCAUAGCAAGUCUGAUGUGAAAGAUCGGGGCUCAACCCCGGGCCUGCAUUGGAAACUGUCAAGCUAGAGUGUCGGAGGGGUAAGCGGAAUUCCUGGUGUAGCGGUGAAAUGCGCAGAUAUCAGGAGGAACACCGGUGGCGAAGGCGGCUUACUGGACGGCAACUGACGUUGAGGCUCGAAAGCGUGGGGAGCAAACAGGAUUAGAUACCCU
rnacentral:rRNA from 1 species